ACAGGUACUGACGUUGAAAACAGACGUGUUUGUACGUGCUUUCCUAUCCGUGAGAUCGUUCCCAUCGUCUGUACAAAACGACGCAUCAUUUUGUAUUGACUGGAAACGAAGGGAUCGUUAACCUCAACGAAAGAGACUUCAACGCACAAAAGACACUCACGCAAGUACGUUUCGUUGUCGUCCUUGGUGAUUUAAUGCAAUCAGUUGGUCAUGCGCAGUCCAUCGCAAUCUCUAUUUCACGGUGGGCGACUCUCCACGACCAUAACAACACAUGUCGAUGCGACGGCCGAUGUCCCUGCAAGCUUGACGAUGCAGCAACGAAUUCAAUCAAAUCAUCUCGGACGUGCAUUUUACCUUGGCACGCAAAACAAAACAAAAAAAAAUCUACUCUGAUUUUUUUUUUUUUUUUUUCUGAAGGGGGAAACGUAUUUACGGAUGGAUUGGUCCGCCGACGAAAGUUAUGCGAGUCGUGCGUGACUGAUGACUAGAAAAAAAAAAAAAAGGAACCGUCCGGAAACUUUUCUUUUUAUUUUUCUUGGCGGUUAUCGGUUAGAUUUACAAUCUGAUGAAUUAGAUUUCCACCACACCAAAAAAUUGCUGACGUGAUUUUCUUUUAUUAAAAAAAAAAGAAGGGACGAAUGUUACAUAAGAUCACGACGAAAGAAAGGGCUUCACUGCGGGUUGGGCUCUAUUUGCAACCGAGGCCGCUGCCGGGCCAUUCCUGACGGAUGACCUCACCUUCUUGCACCAGGCAGAGUCAUACCGUUUUCUUUUUUCAACAUCCACAUUUUCUAAACGUAUAAAACGACACCUCGUUUAGUUUUUGACGCGCAUCAUAUUCUUCCCGUCUUUAAUCGCUCUCCUUCUUUUUUUCCAGGCCUCACGUUUUCUCUUUCAUUUGAAAGAGAAAAAAAAACGAAGGUGUCCCGUGUCACGGCCCUUUGCACGUUCACUGGAGACGCCCUUCGACUAUGCUCAUCAUCUCAAUUGUGCACCGAAGGCCAUUUGCAAAUGAACUCUUGUACUGUGUGGGCCGUUCUUUCUUACCAUCUUCUUCUUCUUGUAUUUUUCUUUAAACUAGUGAUGAAAGAUCCUGCUCUUCACGGUGAGCUCACCAUUUAGAUGCUGGGAAACGAACGUCACCGGCAUUGACACAUGCAAACGUGGCGGAGGCGGCCAGUCAAAAACACUCGGGGCAUUUACCUGUGCAAUCCAAUAGGUCCUUUACAUUUUAGUGGAUGUACGUGGGUAUAGAAAUGAAAAUAAAAACGCAAAGGGGGAGGUGUUGAAAGGCGGUGUGGUAACUUACGUAAAUAUAAAAAGCAUGUAAUUUAUUUAAACAUUUCGAUUUAGUAUAAGUAGGGGUUGGGAAUCUAUGGUUUUUUACGAUGAUAUUUCUAACAAUCGCUAUUCGAUUUUGGUGUAUUUAAAAGAUGUUGGUGUAUAGAAAAAAGGGGAAAAAGAUAAACCACCCCCUAAA